GAGGCAAAGGUGUUCUGGGAGCACAAAGGAGGGAGGAAGUUGGCUCGCUGGGGUGAGGCAGGGAGGAAGACUUCCCGAGGAGUCAGCCUUGAGAGGACUCUUUAAGGAAUGGUUAUAGCUCCCAUGGGGAGAAAGGGAAGUAUAUCGCAGUCAGAGACAAAUUAUAGCAGAAAAAUCCAGGGAUGAGAAAGUGUGUAGUGUGUUCAGGGAAAGGACAUGAAAUGUGGCUGAAAUGCAGGGCAGGAAGGAGGGAGGUUCAGAUGAAGACAAGUUGGGCAGGGCUUCCAGUGCUUUCCUGCUGCUGCUGCUGCUGCUGCUAAGUCGCUUCAGUCGUGUCUGACUCUGUGAGACCCUAUGGACAGCAGCCCACCAGGCUCCUCCAUCCACAGGAUUCUCUAGGCAAGGAUACUGGAGUGGGUUGCCAUUUCCUUCUCCACCAGUGCCUCCCUAGGGAGCUCAGACUCUAUCCUGAGGUUGAUGAGUGUAUAUGAAGGCUUUGCAACAGGGGAACGAUGUAGUCAGGUGGGGGUUCUAGAAAGAUCCCUGUGGUAGGUGUAGAGGAUAUUUAAAGGCAAGAAGAGGGAAGAGAGGACAGACUGAAGCCGUUGCCUUGAGUUGAAGGUGGCCUGAGCUAAGGCAAUGGCAAGAGGGUGGGAGAAGGGACAGAUGGGUGAAACCUUUCCAGAACAGAACAGCAGAAUAUUCAGUAGAAUGAUUUAAGGAGAGAAGACUGGCCCUCUCCAGUCCCAGAAAAGAUACAUGUUCAGAACAUUGAUCAGCUCACACUUCGGAAGGAGGAAGCCAGUGGUCCCUAUCCGCUGCAUCAGCAGUGCUGGGGAUGGUGGAGGCUUGAUUGACCAGCCCAUCACAUGUGCAAGACCCAACCCAACCAUUGUACCAAGGAGAAUGGGGCCCUGUGACUGGCCUACUUGCCUUUCCCAGUGGUCUUUAGCAGAGCCCCUGCUGUAUGUACCCCAGUCCCAGUGUCAGACAUGGCAGCACACAGGCGUCUAAGGCAUCGGGAGAUAUGAUACGAUGAUGAGGAAACGAAGGUUAGAUCCAAGCCUUCCAGGGAUGAAGCUCACAUGCCAGGGCCACCACACUGCAGUGCUGCUGGAGCAAAUGCGAUGUGAGAGUUCACUGCAAACCCUCCUCUCUGUGUCAACGGUGGUAGCCACAAAGGGCACCCCAGAGGAGUGGGAGUCCCCACGGGAGCAGCUCUCAGGGGAUCCCAGAAGACAGUCCUGUGCUUCUAUUCAGAAACUCAGCCUCUUAAGGACCCUGGAGAAAAUUUCAUUCAUGCCCUGGGAGAAAUGCAUGCCACUUGCAAAUGCAGAAACAGCCCAAAAAGAGGGGAGCAUCUUGUUCAAGGUCACACAGUGAGCCAUGAUGGAAACCCGUCCAGAGUGCAGCUCGCCUUACCCCUGCACUACUACACCGACCAGCUUGUGAUCUCCCUGGCUUCAGGCUCCACCUCAAACCUGUCCAUCAUACUUCAACCAGGGCUUGAGAAGAACCAAAAUCUGGCCUGUCCUCCUCUGCCUGAAUCUUCAAUCAUCUACAGGAUCAGGACCCAUCCCCUUCCCACAGCUUACAGUACCCAGAGUCCUAGGCCUGCAUCAUCUCCCACUGUGCCUCGUCUGGAUCUCCACUUGCCCUUCCACGGAGCACCCAAUGCUGCUUCUUGUUUCCGUGCCUUUGCUGGCAUUGUGCCCCCUUCAGGUCUGCCCUUCGUGGCUCUUCCACACCAUUGAAGGCUCAGCUUUUCAUACCGUCCUGCACUCCAGCACUAGCUGCACUGGGCCCUCACUGGGCUACCUCCUCGCCGCUCCGAGUUGACUUCAUCAGCACCUGUACAUGAUAACAUUUUUCAAAUGCUAAUUUUGCUUUUAACGUACAGGAUCAUUUCCAGCUUGUCAGGUCUGGUUAUUCCUUAGUCACAACUGAACAUGAAAACAACCGGGCAGCUUUUCCUGACUGUCAGGGCAAGAGCAGGAGUCAGAGGUGCUCUCUUCCUUUGGCUAAGCUUUCAUGGGAAUGAGCUGCUGUGUCCAGAGGAUAUGUACAUGCCAGUAGAAAGGGGUUCGGGGCCCUCAUCCCUUACAAAUCCCAGUGCUUCAUACUCACCCAGGGCAUUCCCAUCUGGAUCCUCCAUCUCUAUUGGGAUUCAGGGACUUCUUUGAGUUUUCUUGCUCCCACCCAAGCAGUGAGGGACUGAACCUUCAUGUCUGGUUGAGGGUUCUCACUCCACUGGGCAGGGGUCUGUCCUAGAUGGUCAGCUCAUGGGCCAGCCAGCCUCUCAGACAGCACAGUGUGGACCAGCUUGUGCCGUUUUAGGGAGCUCAGUCUUAGGAAGUAAGAGCCCGUCAGGGCCACAAAGAAAUGCUUUUCCACUGCCUGGUGGGAUCACGUGGCCACCAGCAUCUCCAGCACCUUGGGGUUCAGGAUCAGCUCCAACUUCGUGCAGAUGACCUUAGAUGAACUGGUGAUCCCUGAUCCUGCGCUGUCCUGGACAGACAGACAUGACCUCAUGGAGAAUGGACGCCUGACCAGCUGCUCACUCAGUAUCACUGGCCUUUCUGCUUUGGUUACUGCAGUUCCGCUCAGGGACGGGGCUCCUGAUAUUCUGGGUGAAAUGCGGUCCCCAUAACUUUUACUUAUUGAGACUUAUACUUUGGCCCCCUGAUGUGAAGAGCUGACUCAUUGGAAAAGACCCUGCUGCUGGGAAAAAUUGAAGGCAAGAGGAGAAAGGGGUGACAGAGGAUGAGAUGGUUGGAUGGCAUCAUCAAGUCAAUGGACAUGAGUCUGAGGAAACUCAGGGAGAUAGCAAUGGACAGAGAAGCCUGGGGUGCUGCAGUUCAUGGAGCCACAAAGAGUUGGACACGACUGAGCGACUGAACAACAGCUGAUGUGACAGGCACUGUAGUAAGUGCUUUACAAAUAUUAAAUAAUUGAAUCAUCACAAUAAUUGUACCAGGUGGGUAAUUCUUCUCCUCAUUUUAUAGAUUUAAGAAUUUGAGGCCAAGAGAGGAUACAUGACUUGCAUAUAGCCACACAGCCAGUAAGUGGCGGGCCCCAGCAGGCUGACCCCAGAGCCAUACUCUGAGCUGUCUGGUUCAGAUGCUUCAACCAAUUGCCUGACUCGUGUCUGUCUACUUGUCAGUCUCACUUAGAACUGAAUCUCAUUGCCCCUUAUCUGCAAUGCUAGCAUGCAGUAGAUGUUCAAGCCUUCCUGAGCAGGAGCCAAUUGGUAACCUUCCUACU
ensembl:lncRNA